UUUCCAUCCACGUCGGUCUUCUUCUUGAAGAUCCAUUUGCACCCAACGGUCUUACGUCCGGGCACAUAAUCAACCAAAUUCCAAACUUGGUUAUCAUACAUGGAUUGGAUCUCGCUAUCCAUUGCCUCUUUCCAUUUUGCAGACUCCGGGCCUGCCAUGGCUUCCUUAUAGCUAUUAGGUUCAUCAAGAUUUACUAGUGUACCAUCACUAAUAUACGUGUCCCCUUCGGUAGUAAUAUGAAAACCAUAAAACUGGGGAUGAACUCUAACUCUAUCGGAACGUCUAAGAGGUAAGGAUUCGUCAAUCGGUUCAACCGGAGUUUCCUCCUCGGGUUGAGUGCCAGCGGUAGAGGUUCCUUCAUCUAUCGACUCUUGAAUCUCUUCAAGUUCGAUUUGCCUCCCACUGUCUCCUUGGCUUAUGAGUUCUCGCUCUCGGAAAACUCCUCUCCUCGCAACGAAGACAACAUUGUCCUUCGGUCUAUAGAAGAGAUAUCCAAAGGAUGUCUGCGGGUAGCCGAUGAAAAUACAUCGCUCACUUCGAGGUUCAAGCUUGUCGUGAGUAUCUCGUCUUACGAAAGCCUCGCAACCCCAAACCUUGAUAUGUGCCAACGAGGGAGCUUUCCCUGUCCACAUCUCGUGAGGUGUUUUGGCAACCUUCUUAGUAGGGACUCGGUUAAGGAUAUGGGCGGCAGUCUCUAAGGCAUACCCCCAAAAAGAGAUAGGUAGUGAAGCACGACUCAUCAUAGAGCGAACCAUAUCCAAUAAGGUUCGAUUACGCCUUUCUGCCACACCAUUCAACUGCGGUGUCCUAGGAGGCGUCAAUUGUGAAACUAUUCCACACUCCUUGAGAUAAUCGUGGAAUUCAAGACUUAGGUACUCUCCUCCUCGAUCGGAUCGAAGCAUCUUGAUUUUCCUGCCCAAUUGAUUCUCCACUUCAUUCUUGAACUCUUUGAACUUUUCAAAAGUUUCUGACUUUUGCUUGAUUAAAUAGAUAUACCCAUAUCUACUAUAGUCAUCGGUAAAAGUCACGUAGAAGCGGUUCCCAUCCUUCGUGGUUGAUCUAAACGGUCCACAUACAUCGGUAUGUAUUAGGUCCAAUAGACCCUCACCCCUUUCACACGUACUUGUGAAGGGUGACUUAGUCAUCUUUCCAAGUAAACAAGAUUCGCAUGUGUCAUCUUCCCUAAGGUCGAAUGACUCCAACACUCCAUCCUUUUGGAGUUGGGCUAUGCGUUUCUUGUUGACAUGUCCAAGACGACAAUGCCACAAGGAUGCUUUAUCCAUACUAUUGGAAGAAUCUAUGUUCAAAACAUCAUUUCCUAAGUUAUCAACAAUCAUAACAGUUUCAUAAAUUCCAUUACAUGGUAUAGCUUCAAAAUAAAAGACACCAUUUAGAUAAGCCAAAAUAGAACCAUUCUCAUUAUUAAAAGAAAAUCUAAAACCUUGUCUAAACAAACCAUGAAAUGAAAUGAUGUUUCUAGCCAUUUCUGGCGAAUAGCAACAAUUGUUCAAAUCUAAACUUAAACCAUUCCUAAGCACUAAAGAAUACACUCCAAUCUUGGUCACAGGCGACGAUCUUCUGUUCCCCAUGAUUAGAUUUAUUCUUCCAGGCUCCACAUCCCUAUUUCUUCUUAGUCCCUGCACAUUAGAACAAAUGUGGUAACCACAACCGGUAUCAAGAACCCAAGAAAUAGCAUGAGAUGAAUCGUUAGAUUUAAUUGUGUAUAUACCUGCGAAAGACGGCUUGAUCUUUCCUUCCUUGAUGGCUUGCAGGUACUCUGGGCAGCUUCUCUUCCAAUGUCCUAUCUUGUGGCAGUGGUGGCACUCUGCCUCCUUUGGGUUAGGGCAGGGCUUAGCAGGAUCAACUUUGGUCCCACUAGAAGAGGCACCAUCUCGGGCUUUAACCUUGCGAUAGUUCUUAGACGAAGCCUUCCUCUUCUUUCCCUUUCCUUGUCCAAUAGCCAAGACAGGAGCAGCGGGUGGAUUGGGAGUUGGUGCAACAGACUUGUCCUUGAAGUUGCUCUCAGCGACCCUCAAGAGACCUUGGAGCUUGCUUAGGGUGACCUCUUCUUUGUUCAUGUGGUAGGUCAUCCUAAAUUGAUUGUAACUCGGAGGCAAAGAGUGAAGCACCAUGUCGAUCGCCAAGUCUUCCCCAAAGUCAACAUUCAACUUGCGAAGACGGUCGACAUACCUUUGCAUCUUUUGCAGGUGCACGGUAAGAGACUCUCCAUGACCCAUCUUAGCGGAAAUCAUGUUAGUGAAAAUCUCAUAACGCUCUUGUCUCGCGUUUUGGUGGUAUCUCUCCAAUAAGUCUUGAUGCAUCUCGUACGGGUACAUGUCCUCAUAGGACUUUUGGAAUUCGGAGUUCAUGGUGGCUAUCAUGAUGCAAUGUACCUUCGUUGCAUCGCGCUCAUGAGUUUCAAAAGCGGUCAUUUCAGCCGGAGUAGCGAUUUCAGGGUUAAUUUUCUCGAGCUUCUCAUCGAGGACAUACUCCUUAUCCUCAUAGCGAGCAAUUGUGCGAAUGUAUCUUAUCCAUUCGCUAAAGUUCGUCCCAUCGAAAGUGACCUUUUGACAAAGGCUCAUCAAUGUGAAUGAACUAGCAGCAGCGUUGUUUGCGUUCGACAUCUACAAAUAGAAAGGACAAAGAUAGAUUAGAAUAUGAAUCCCUAAUUAUCACCCAAUUAAAAAAAUUAGGGCUAGGAUCCAACAACAAUAUUUACAUAUUAGAAAAGGGAUGUCGUAAUCUAACAUGCAAACAAUUUGAAGGUAAGUGAAUGACGAUUCACUAAUUCUCCACCAUAAAAACAUAACUUUAAGUUCUAAAUGUAUUGAGAAUUCCUAGGUUUGGAUGAGAUUCAUUGAAACUUUUCAAUGGCAUGUUUAAAUCUCGAUAUGCCCCUCUUGUUUGUGACUGGGAUACCGAGGAUCACAAAGCGGGUGUGAAUUACCAUGCAAAUUCACAUGGUGCCUUCAUUGUAACGAUCACCUAUUCGAUGUGCCGGUAAACCACACACGCUCCAUCGAACUAUGAUAAACAAUGAAUCACCCUUUGCCACCUUUGCUUAGAACCAAUUAGUGUGCCGGUAAACCACACACGCUCCACUAACUUCUUAGCAAGGGUGCAAAGUGUAAUUUCAUGGGAUUGCAUCAAUUCACUUUUCCUAAAGUAACUAAGAUUGGGAAAUUUUUGAAAAACAUGUAGUUACUUUGUAUUUCAUAUUAUACUUUUAAUGAAGAGAUGAGGUUGCCCUAUCCUACUCGUUCGGCUAACGACCCUCCACCGAUCAAGCAAGCGGUAGGUGUGAGUGUACACCCAUUAAGCGCCAUUUUAUAGGCAUCAACCUUAUACCCACCUUAUAGACCGGCUUCGUGAAUGAGGCCUACUAACGGUAAGACUAGCAUUUUAAUUAUAUAUAUAUAUAUAUUAAUCUUGUAAUAUUAUAUUAGUAUAGGGUUGGAUUUUAAACUUGUAAAAUUCUAGGGUUUGAAAUUUAAAUUGUCUAAAUUAAACUUUUAAUCACAAAACAUAAAUUUCAAAACUUGAGGGCAAGUUUUAAAAUUUUUAAAACAUAGAGGAUCAAAUAACAAAUAAUCUUAAUUAACAAUUAAUUCCAUAAUUAUCCAUAUUUGAUUUAUUUAAUGAUUUCUUGCAAAACAAUUUACCAAUUUAAUAAAAUAAUUAAUCAAUUAUCACAUAAGGAAACAAAUAUUUAAUUAAUUGAUAAAUAUCUUCAAUUAGGUCAAGAAUAUACUCAUAUAUAUCAUAAAAUCGGAUUUAUAUUGAUCUAAUAUGAUUAAGGCAAGUAUCUCAAAGAUAAACAACAAGAAAUCCCGAAAUUUCCUCCUUCUGACGCUCGAACUCGCCGAGUACGCAGAUGGACUCGCCGAGUUGAGCCUACUCGGCGAGUACCACCAGGGGACUCGCCGAGUUCUUUAGCCAGAGGACAAAAAAACCGAUUUUUUCAGCAACAAACAAGCAAUCAAAGUAUGAAUUCAAUAGAAACCAAUCUAGGCUCUGAUACCAUUGAUGGGUUUUAGCCAUAUGAACAUCCCUAUGUGCACAUGCAACCCUAAUGCUUGGAUCUAGGUUUCUCUAAUUGAUCAUACAUUGAAUCCAAGACUUCUAAUGGCUAAUAUACAAUAAUAACAAUAUGAAAUCAGAGAUUAGAAGUUUACCUUGAAUCACUUGCUUGAUCUUGUUGUCCUUGAGGCUUUAGAGUCACAAUUGUCACUCCUCUAAUGGCUUACAAACACCAACUAGCAAGGAGGAUGAUUUGAGAGAGAGGAGGGAAGAGAAAUUCGGCCAGGGUUUCUUCUCUAAGCACAAGUGCCGAAAUCCCUUAGCCCUUGGGGUCUAUUUAUACUUGUAAGGCUCCUAGGGUUUCACCCUUAAACCCUAAUUGGAUAACUUAAGCCCUAAGCAAUCCAAAUCCUUUCCAUGAUAAGCCUUGGACGAUUUUAUGGCUAUCCUUAGCCCUAGAAAUCGUCCACCCCUUAUCCAUAAAGGAUAUAUAGCCCAAAGUGCAACUAUCAAACAAUUGACAGUUUAUACCCCUUUAUUUAAUUAAUCUCUUUAAGUCACCAAAUUAAUUCCAAAUUAAUUUAUGACUUAUAUUAAUCAAAUAACAAUAUUAUUAUUGCUUAUAUUAUUCUUAUAAUAUAUUAAUAAUAUUCCAUCUCUCAUUAUAAAUCAUCCUGUCAAGUUGCUAUGGUGAAGGCAACCCAAAAGGACCAUGCUCAACCAGGUCAAAUACUUGCCUUAUAUAGUUGCAGCCUUAGACACUAUUCCAACAAGAGGAACAACAAAACAAUGAAACAUGGCAGUAGACAGAACAGAGCUUUUCAAAGCGACAAUCAACAUCUUCAAAUCUUCUGGAUACAGUGAAACAUCCCCCUCGACUUGAUAAUUGGUUCCUUGAAUCUUCAUAAUUGUUUGAGAAGUAACGUCUUCAGUUGUUUGUGAUGGAGCAGCAACAUCAGCAGGAGUAGCCAUGAUUAGGGUUUUGGACCUUUGAAGAACAAGUAAAGAUUUCUGAGACAAUUUGGCAUUUUUCUUUUGAAAGCGUAAACUGAUAAAGAUUUCUGAGACAAUUUGGCAUUUUUCUUUUGAAAGCGUAAACUGAUAAAGAUUUCUGAGACAAUUUGGCAUUUUUCUUUUGAAAGCGUAAACUGUCACAUCUGCUUGAAAACCUGGAAGAAUAGAAGGCGUCUUAUCAAAUAGCCUAUUUGUUUAUCCCAAUAGAAUUGUAACCAUCACGAUCCUUCGAUAUGGAGGUAAGGUUCUUUCACUUUUAGGAUGAAAAGCGAAGUCAUAUGCCAGACUGUCAAAUCAUCAGCCUGAGUUGGUAUUAGUCAGAACCUCAAGGAUUUUGUGAGUGCGGUGAGCCAAAGAAAUAAGAUGAGAAUCCAAUCUUAACAAAAAAUUGGAGUCAGUGAAAUUGUACCUCUGUUAUGUGUGGACCAAACAGUUUACUCUUAACUCAUUUGAGAAUAGUCAGGUAGCUCAGGAGACUAAUGUGAAUAUAAGCUGGAUUAGGAAGAAAUUUUUAUCAUGAAAGAUUUCAUUAAGACUUUCGUAAACACACAUUGAGUCAAUGGAGGCUUGGGUCGACAUGCUGCAGCAUGCUUCUAGGGACAACUUAACUAGUUCAAAGUUUUUGAAAGAUUACCUGACCCUAGGACUGCAAGAAUCAACCAUAAGAACCAUCUUGGAUAUCUGCAACACUUCACUUAAAAAAACACUUAUUAGACAAACAAAAAAAUAUUUUUGUUGUUUUUGAUUUUUCGAAAAUAAAUAAAAAAACUAAACGAAAAUAAAAUCUUUUUGGUGUUUUUAAUUUGUUGAAAAUUAAAAGACUAAACAAACGAAAAUCUUUUCGGUAUUUUUGAUUUUUCGAAAAUUAAAAUACAAAACAAAAGGAAAAUAUUUUUGGUAUUUUUGAUUUUUCGAAAAUUGAAAGACUAAACAAAAGUAAAAUAAGAAACAAAACACACGAAAAAGACUUGUUGCAUUUUAUCGAAAAUUUGUUUGACCUCCUUGACGAAAAGAUUUUGAUCACUUUUGACGAAAUUUUGAGAAUUUAACGAAAAUUUUGCCCAAUAAUGAAUUUCACAUGUUGUCAAAAUCGAAAGGUGUUGAAGCGUUGAAUAUCAAUAGUAACCUCUGAACACUGAAUGAAAUUCCUAUGUAAACCUAUUCAACACCUUUGAAGCGACACUUUUGGCAUUUUAUUCCUUAGCACCAGGAAUAGAAUUUCCAUCAAUCAUUCCAAGAUUCUCACCAAUGAUUUUUCAUCUAACGUUUAUGUAAAAAUAUCAGCCAAUUGAUGGGUUGUUUUUACAAAAUGAACUUCUAUAUUACCAUCCCUCACAUGAUCCUUUAUGAAAUGGUAACGAAGAGCUAUAUGCUUAGUUUUUGAAUGUUGCACAGGUUGUGACAAAUACGAAUUGCACUUUGGGAAUCACAAUAUAAUGGUAUUUUCUUCAUAUUAAUUGCAUAAUCACUCAAUUGACUUUGAAUCCAAAUAAUUUGUGAUGUACAAGCUGCAACAACAACAUAUUCUACUUUUUCUAUGGAAAUCGAAUCACAUGUUUGCUUUUUCGAUUGCAAGCUUACCAACUUCCCAUCAAACAAUUGACAUCUGCCACUCGUGCUUUUUUUUAUCCAACCUAAGUCAGUAUCCAAAAAUGCUUGAAUGAAGAAUCCGAUUUUUGAAGGAUACCACAAUCCUAACAAAAUUGUUCCUUUAAGAUAACGAAAGAUAUUCUUGACUGCAGUAAGAUGUGGUUCUCGUGGAUUCGAUUGAUACCUAGCUUAAUUACAAACAGAAAGCAUGAUAUCAGGUCUACAUGCUGUGAGAUAAAGUAACAAACCUAUCAUGCUUCUAUAAAGAGUCAAGUCAACAACAAUUUUAUCUAACGAAGGUGUCAGCUUAGUGCUAGUUGCCAUUGGUACUCGUAACUUUGUGCUAUUCGUCAAUCAAAUUUUUUUGAGAAAACUCUUGGUAUAUUUUUCUUGGUUGAUAAAAAUUCCUUCUCUGUUUUGAUAAAUAUUCAAACCAAGAAAAUUAUAAAUUUUUCUCAUCAUACUCAUCUCAAAUUUACUUUUCAUCAAAUUUUCGAAUUCAUUAGGCAAAACAGUGUCAGUAGAGCCAAAAAUAAUAUCAUCAACACAAAUUUGAACAAGCAUUAGAUGAUUCCUAACUUUCUUUCGAAAUAAUGUGGGAUCAAUUGAUCCUUGUUUAAAUUUCAAUAGUUUCAAGAAUGAAGUAAGAGUUGCAUACCAGGCUCGUGGUGCUUGUUUUAACCCAUAAACCGCCUUAUCUAAAAUAUAACAAUAAUCAUGAUGUUCUUUAUUUAUAAAACCUGGGGGUUGGUCCACAUACACAGUCUCUUCCAGCUCUCCAUUCAAAAAUGCACACUUUACAUCCAUUUGAUAGACAUCGAAAUAUUUGUUAGCUGCAUAAGCCAAAAAUAUUCGAUCUGCCUCGAGUCUUGCGACAAGGGCAAAAGCUUUUUCAUAGUCUAUUCCCUCUUGUUGUGAAUAACAUUUUAAAAGAAGACUGGCUUUGUUUCGAAUAAUGUUUCCAUCCUUGUACGUUUUAUUUUUGAAAAUCCAUUUUAAUCCAACAAUUGAAACAUCUAUUGGCUUUGGAAUUAACCUCCAAACUUUGUUUCUCUUGAACUCAACUAAUUCAAAUUGCAUUGCAACAACCCAAUCUGAUGGUUCCAUUGCAAACUUAACUAUCUUUGGUUCGAUUUUCGAAAUAAAAACAUUAAACAUACAAAAUUCUUGAUGAGUAUUUAGUACCUCAUUAUUUGCACGAAUCAGAGCUCUAGUCAAAAAUCCAUCUUGUGGAUUACCAAUGACUUGUUCUUUUGGAUGAACCCUUGUCCAUUUUUCUAGUGGUGGAUAUGCUGGAUCAAAGUCUAAAUGUACAUCUUCGUAUAUUUCUUCAUUUUCAGAACCUGCAACAGAAAUAUCAUCAUUAGUUUCGUGAAACUCAUCAUUUUGAUCAAGAAUUAUUGUAUCAACAUCAUUAUGUCCAUUUUCAUCAUUAUUAUCAUUCUAAUGCUCCCCCUCAAAACUUCCAUUCUUCCCCUCGAAAGAAUGCUCCCCCUCAACACUUGAAGGUGUAGACAAGUGCCCCCCCCCCCUCCACUUGUGCAUCUAUCAUACUUUCGCCAUUAGCAUGUGAAGAUGUUAUGUCGGUCGAAACAUCAGAAUGUUUCGAAGAUUCAGGGAUUUGAUUAUCUUUGGCAUUGACUUCAACAUGUGCAUCCCCAUCUGGAACACCAAAAAUUAAUCAUAAUCAAAAUCAGACGAAAUAGAAAGUUAGUCUCAUCAUUUGAUUCAUUAAGAAUUGGUUUUUGUUCGAAAUAUUUUUCAACUUGUUUCACAUAAUAAUCAUCAAAAGUGAGAUUAAAUGUUUCUUCGAGUUUUCAUGUUUCCUUAUUCAAUACUCUGUAUGCAACUGAAUUAUGUGAAUAUCCCAAAAAUAUUCCUUCAUCAGCCUUAGCUUGAAAUUUCGAAAUAUUAUCCUUGAGAUUCAUUAUAAAGCAAUUGCAACCGAACACACGAAAUAAUUUAACAUUCGGUUUUCAGUUAUUUAUAAUUUCAUACGGAGUGAUAUUGAAACGAAGAUGAAUAAAAGAAUGAUUCUGAGUAAAACAAGCUGUCGAAACUGCUUCUGCCAUAGGUAUUGAGGUAAAUUCGCAUAUGUCAACAUUGUUCUUGCAGCAUCGGACAGAGACUUAUUCCUUCGUUCAACCACACCAUUUUGUUGUGGUGUAUAUGGUGAUGAAAAAUCAUGCAAAAUUCCUUUUUCAGUUAAGAAUGAAUCCAACACAUUAUUUUUAAACUCAUAACCAUUAUCACUUUUGAUUUGUUGAACAUUCUUUUUCAGACUUGUCUUGAUAAAAUCAAUCAUUAUUUGAGCGACUUCAGAUUUUAACCUGAGAAAAUACACCCAAGUAAAUCGUGAAAAAUAAUCAACAAUAACCAAAAUGUACCGUUUCUUGUUGUGAGUUUCAACAGUUGAUGGUCCACAAAGGUCAAUAUGAAGAAGUUCCAACGGUUCAACAAUUUUCGAAUCUAUCACAAUUGGAUGUCCUUUCCUAUGCUGUUUUCCUUGUUCGCAAGCUGCACAUAAAGUAUCAUUGUCAAAUUUUAAUACUGGUAACCCACGAAGAAGAUCAUCAACAACCAACUUGUUCAAAUUUCAAAAGUUUAGAUGUGAUAAAAUACGAUGCCACAACCAGCUAACAUCAGAUGAAGCUUUUGAAAGUAAACAAACUGAAGGUUUCCUAACAAUAGGUUUUAUGUCAAAAGUAAACAUAUCGUCAUAUCAUUUUGGUUUCAGCAACACUUCAUUCUUUUCAACUUUUGAAAUGAUACUUCCUUCUUCAUUAAACACAACUUGAUUUCCAGUGCCCAUAACGAGUUGUGAAACACUUAUCAAAUUAUGUUGAAGACCUUCGACUUAAGCAACACGAUUUACAGUGAACUGUCUAUUCGUUACUUCGCCGUAUUUCACUUUACAUUUGUGAUUAUUCCCAAACUUCACAACACCAGCAUUCUCUAAACUUCGAUAAUCUCUUAGAUUCUCCUUUCUUCUAGUCAUGUGAUGUGACAACUCGAUAUUUCGAAUCAAUGUAAUGACCUAAGAAGUUAAGAAUUGUAAUCUCUUUUAAUAUAAUGAAAUUAUCAUCAAAAAUAAAAUGUUCAAAAGUCUCUACUAGAUUUCAUAAAUGAUAGAUAUUGUGUCAAAGGUUUUAGAAAUAUAAAGAACACUAAAAUCCGAGUUAUAACGAAAAAGUUAUGACCAACCUAAGAUUUAGAGCAAAACUGUCAAUACAAUUAAACGUAAAACGAGAAAUUUCAAUAAAAUACUUAUUAGCCUUAGGUAUCUAAAUAAAAGUCGUAGAUAUCAUUAAACCGUGAACAUACAUAAAAAGAACGCACAAAUCUGACUUCGUGUGUAGAAUUUAUGAUUUUUCAAAAUUUCGGGACAGCGGUAGACAGCUAAAAACUCGAAAUAGAGAUCGAGCGAUAUUUAGCUGAAACAACUUAAAUAAGAAUCGAAGAUCUCAACAAUAUUAGUGCAACGAUAAAAAGUUUGACGAAAACGAACAUCGGAUGAAGAAGUUAUGGAUUUUUAACGGACUUUUCAUGUCCCGGCUGUUAAAAAUGUAUUAAUAAAAAUAAAAUAAAAUUAGCCAACAGAGUCUAAAUGAAAGUUGUAGAGUACAUUCUCACCUACGCGUGGAUAUAAAUAACACAAAAAAAACGGAGCUCGUACGCGAAAGUUACGCAAUUUAGAAGUUCGGAAAACUCAAUUACGCCCCGCGUACCAGAGGAUAGGAACCUCGUCCCAUCGGCCACAGGCUCUCCCAUCGGACCUUCCAUCCGAAGUACAUCAUGCAUGACGUAUGGUACGCCCAGCGUAAUCCGAAGGUACGCCCCGCGUACCGAGGGUUUCCAGCCCCUAUAUAAAGGCUGCGAGGGUUCCGGGCAUAAUUGCACAUUUUCUCUCCUUUUCUUGCGUUUUUACCCCGUUUUGUGUGCAAGGAAUAUCCCGAAGUCCUGGUUUUCAUACCCAAGUCCCGAAGGAAGUUUUACGCUCCCGAGAUUCCCGAGAAUCCUGAGAAAUCUGCUUUCUCCUAUCGAAGUUUUGCUUGGUUUUUCGUCUCACCUUCUUCAAUCUAUCAAGUGAGUUCAUACCCCUAUAACUACGUUUUUAAACGUUUGGUAAAUACUUUUAUACACUUUUAAGAGGGGGGGGGGAUACAAGUACACACACACGGUUAUCCCCGUGUGAAAAACAUCAAUUUUUUGCUAUACUUUGGUUAUAUAAAUAUUAAACACUUUAUUUAUAUUUUGAGUAUAAACAUCCAAUAAUGUUAUUACAAAUGUUAUACUUUACAUACAAAGUCGACACUACAAUAGGGUUUAUCAUACAAACGAAUCACACACUUGGAAAAACUAUAAUAGGUAUAGUUAUUAGAUAUUCAUCGGAUUUUACAUACUAUAAGUACUAUACCAAGGAAGUACUUUCAUAUACAAGAACAAAUGGACUUUUCAUACAUAAAUCUAUUUGAUACUAAGUUUUGUGAGAUAUUCAAACUUCACGUACUUUCAAGUAUGCAGUUAAAGCCCUGUAUUAUAUACCAUAAUCUCUUAUAGGGAGAGCAUGAUACUUGUGUAUAGAUCUAUACGGGAUUGACAAUCCCGCACCUAAACUGUUAGCUAUAGUUAGACUGGCAGGUCUGGGGUGACAACCGUCAUAACAUUCCAACGCCUGAAGAACGUUGUUACAGGCAGUCUAGGUUAAUAGCAUGGUUAUAAAACUCACAUAAAGUAUUAAAAACAAGUUGAUUUACGGGGUUAUCAAAUGCCUUAGUGAUUUUAUACAUAUAUAAAUCAAAUAUUUUGGGCAUAAAAACACUAUUGCAUUAUAGUUUUGGAACUUUUAAACUACCACACACUUAUGGAAAAAUAUUGGAUAUCUAGAAGCAAACAUUUAAAAUAGUCGGGUCUUGGUAGAAGACUACUUUUAUACUAGUAGGAAAUAUGGAAUUUUCUAGGAGUUUUCAAACAUCUACAAACAAUUUCAUUCAAAUAUUAUACAAACAUUGACAUUAAAUACUUAUGAACUCACCAACUUAAAUGUUGAUCUACUCUUUCAAAUAUACAUAAAUUUCUCAGGGAUUCAGUAAUACAGGUAAACCUCAGCUUUUGGAGAAGUGACGCUAAGGCGUCGGUUUAAAACUCAUUUUUGUCAUCAUAUUGUAAUUUGUUUUGAAACAAGUAUCUUUCAACAAUGUAACUUUUAAAUUGUAUAUAUGAUGGUUGAUUUUACUUUCUUUACUAUGUAUUCAACUGUUACGAUACUACAUGAAGUCAUCCGCCCUCAAACGAUUCCGCCGUUCUAGUUUGGGGGUGUGACAUAUUAGUAUCAGAGCAUUGUUUAUAGUGAACUAAGUAUAUAUCGAACCACAUAAGAUAUACAAACUAUAAACGCAUAGGGACUAAAACUCUCUUACAAAAUGUUUUUACACCUGAACCGUGUUUCAUUUAAAUUAAAUUAUUUGGGUCAUAAAAGCACAAAUACAUGCAUACAAGGAUUCAUUUUCAUAAGUUAGAACUAUACAAUAAGUAUUAAGACAAGUUGGUCACUACGACUAGGCCUCGGAAUAUGUAAUCGGGUUUGGGACGAAUAUAGCCUGAUCAACUAUAUUUAUCCAAGAUCAGACUAAUGUAUAACGAGGAAUGGUCGUAGUGAGCAACAAGUCAAAACUUACCAAAAUAACACUAGUAUCAAACAUAAAAAUUUAAAUAGUAUAGGAGUAUUUGGUAAUUACAAUAGUUUAAGCUACAUGUUUUAAAUUUUAGACAAUUCUCAUAUCUCUAUUCUCGUACAGUCGAAAUGGCUAGAUUCUAUCCACCCGGAGAUCCCUACCACCCGAAUCAAGGAAAUGGAGGAUGGGUAGAGGAGGACCCCGAAGAAGAUAAGGAACCUAUAGAGUUUGAGGAAGGGGAAGACUCUGGGACAGACUCAGAGCCAGAUGUAAUCAACCCACUAGUUGCUCAACCUCCCGCAUUUAAGGGAAACUUUCAGGGACCAACUCCCAUUUGGGGAAGUCACAUUCACAAUUGGAGCCGACAUCAAGGAUUACGCCCUGCCUACGACAUGUGUCGGGACUUCUACGACGCCAGGGGCAGAGGUUUAGCCGACCAAGCACUCCCGAUCAUAGUGGGUAAACUAGCCAACCAAUCCUAUCAAUCCGAGAUUCAAGCAAACCAGAUUCGUGAAGUCAACGUGGAAGUACAAUUUCAUACUUCCAACAUCCAUCGUCUGGACAGGUUGCAGGAUAAUGCCCAACUCCACACCGACGCACUCCAUGAACAACUAAUUGCAGCUCUCUCCGAGAUAAGGGUAAUGAGGGAACAACAAGCCGCCUUUGAUAGGCGCCUUAUGGAAGCAAAGCAAUCAGACACGGAGUCGAGCUCCAAGCGCAACCUACGUCGCCAGUAGUACUUGCCCGAAUCCCAAAAUUUUGUUAUAGAAUAGGAAAUCGGCUAAAAGUCUUACUUUUCUUUAAUUUCUAUAUUGGAGACCCUUAGAAGGGUUAGAAUUUUCCUGACUUCAAAAUGUAACUCGACAUAUGUUUAAUAUAUAUAUGAAGAAAGUCCUUUGUGUGUUAAUUCUUUGAAUACCACUCAGAUUCAUAAGAUUAUCUAUGAUUCUGCAAACUUUUAUUAUGAAUCAAGUUCAAUACUUUUGGUAGGUCAAUCAAAUUCAUGAAUUGAUGAAAAUAGCUAAUUAACACAUGGCUCCUAAUCAUUAAAGACUUAUGGUCUUUAUUGUAUUACUUUAGCAGUGCAAUGUCGCCUCGUAGAUCUACACGCCAUGUCAACAACGCAACACCUCCACCACCACCACCUCCAUCAAUGGAUAAUGCCAUCUUAAUAGCUGCUGUAACAGCUGCAGUGACAAUAGAAAUGGCACAUAUGAGUAAUUAUGGGUCCGGAGGGGGAAUAAAUAGCUCUACAAAUGGCCAACAUCAGGGUUGUUCAGGGGAUUGCACCUACAAGGACUCCACCAAUAGCAAGCCCAUACCUUUUAACGGAUCCGGAGGGAUAAUGGCUAUAUCACAGUGGAUAGAGAAAACAAAAGCAAUCUUUGAGAUCUGUUCAUGUCUGGAAGGGAGCAAGGUAAAGUUUGUUGCCUGCACAUUCUCCGAGAGAGCUCUGACAUGGUGAAAUGGUCAUGUCAAGUCACUAACACUGGUAGUGGAAAAUUCUAUGGGUUGGGAGAAUCUAAAGCAAAUGUUAAUGCAAGAGUACUGUCCAAGGGGCGAAGUACAAAAUCUCGAGCAGGAACUUUGGGGCCUUACUAUGGUAGGCUCGGACAUCACAACCUAUACCAAUAGGUUUAGUGAUUUUGCAAUCCUUUGCCCGGGGAUGGUUGCUCUAGAGAUCAAGAAGAUCGAGAGAUACAUCUGGGGAUAGUCGCCCCAGAUUCAAGGAAGUGUACUAGCUUCCAAACCAGUCACUUUCGAUAAUGCCAAACAGUUGGCACAAGCUCUCGUUGACCAUGGAAUCUACCAAGGCUUCGCGACUGCCGUUCCGGAGCAACCCAUAGGGAACAACAACAACAACAACAAUAGUACCAACAACAACAACAACAACAACAACAACAACAACAACAACAACAACAACAACAAGAAGUUUUAGAACAAGAGAAAGGGUCAAUUUCCGCAGGAGCCUUCCAAGAAACAAGAGAUAGUGGCAGUCCAUGCCGCUAUAGCCCCCAGUGCUGUCCCUGUUACCCUUACACCAGCAAAGCAAUAUGCUGGGAACCUAACAAAGUGCAACAAAUGCAAUUUCCAUCACAACAGAAAUUGUCUGGAGAUGCACUGCAACAACUGCAACAGGAAAGGGCACACUGCCCAUUUCUGUAAGGCACCGGAACGACCAGUCACCCAAGUUUCUGGAGUCGGCGUUGGCCAGGCGUGUUAUGGUUGUGAUGCGGCUAGACACUACAAGAGAGAUUUCCCUAAGGCAAGGAAUGUUGGCGGCAUAGGAAGAGUGCUGGAAAUAGGGCAGAACGAAGCAAUAGCUGAUCCCACGGUGGUUACGGGUACGUUUCUCCUCAAUAACAAUUCUGCAUGCAUACUCUUUGAUUGUGGUGCGAAGAGGAGUUUCUUGAGUCAUAAAUUCAAACACUUACUAAAACAGAACCCUCAACCACUCAAUAAGAUAUUUACAGUAGAAAUGGCAAACGGUAGCACAAAAAACACAAACAAUAUGUACGUAGGCUGCACAUUAACUCUAAACGAACAUUCCUUCCAAAUCGAUCUAAUGUCUAUCACUAUAAGGAUCUUUGAUUUCAUCAUCGGUAUGGAUUGGUUAAGCCUGCACCAUGCCGAUAUACUUUGUCACGAAAGGGUCGUUCACCUUAAUCUGCCAAACGACAAAACUCUUGUCAUUUAUGGUGACAACCCCGGUACCAAUUUACAAAUCAUCUAUUGCGUCAAACCUAGAAAUACCUGCGUAAGGAGUACCAUGCCUUCUUAGCCCACAUGGUAGAUAAGGAAAAAGAAACAAAAGACAUCAAAGACAUUCCGGAAGUCUGUGAUUUUUCUGAUAUCUUUCCUGAAGAUCUUCCAGGAGUUCCACCAGAACGACUAGUCGAGUUUAGGAUUGAUCUAAUUUUCGGUGCUACUCCAGUAGCUAAGUCGCCGUAUCGUGUAGCGCCAAAUGAGAUGAGGGAAUUAUCCAGCCAAUUAAAUGAACUACUCAGCAAAGGAUUCAUCAGGCCGAGUUUCUCACCUUGGGGAGCACCAGUCCUAUUUGUAAAGAAGAAGGAUGGAUCUUUCCGCAUGUGUAUCAAUUACCGGGAACUCAACAAUCUCACUAUCUAGAACUGAUAUCCCCUACCACGCAUUGACGACUUGUUCGACCAAAUCCAAGGAGCAAGUUGUUUCUCAAAGAUCGAUUUGAGAUCCUGAUAUCAUCAACUGCGAGUCCUAGAAGGAGAUGUUCCCAAAACAGCCUUUCGAACUCGUUAUGGUCACUACGAGGUUGUAGUUAUGCCCUUUGGAUUAACAAAUGCACCGGCGGUGUUCAUGGACUUAAUGAACCGAGUGUGUCGUUCAUUCCUGGACAAAUUUGUGAACGUAUUCAUAGACGAUAUACUCAUCUAUUCGAAGAGUAAAGAAGUACAUAGUCAACACCUCCGACAAAUCUUGGAAACUCUAAGAAAAGAGAAGUUAUAUGCAAAAUUCUCAAAGUGCGAAUUUUGGAUUUGGAAGGUAGAUUUCUUAGGUCACAUGGUUAGCGAAGACGGGAUACAUGUGGACCCUUCCAAAAUCAAGGCAAUUGAGAACUGGUCAGCUCCAAGGACCCCAACAGAAAUCCGACAAUUCUUGGGCCUUGCUGGUUAUUACCGAAGAUUUAUACAAAACUUCUCGAAGAUUGCUAAACCCCUUACCACCUUUACCCAGAAGGGGGUGACUUUCAGUUGGGAGGAAAGACAAGACGCUGCAUUCCAAAUGCUGAAGCAAGCACUAUGCAGCGCACCUAUAUUGUCCUUGCCAAAAGGAACAGAAGACUUUGUGGUCUACUGUGAUUAAUCUAAUCAAGGUCUUGGAUGUGUUCUAAUGCAACGAGGAAAGGUCAUCGCUUACAUCUCGAUACAACUCAAGACGCACGAGGUCAACUACACUACACACGACCUCGAACUAGGAGCAGUCGUUUUCGCACUAAAGAUCUGGACACACUAUCUCUAUUGCACUAAAUGCAUAAUCUUUAUCGAUCAUAAGAGCCCUCAACACAUCCUCAAUCAAAAGAAACUCAACAUGAGGCAAUGAUGAUGUGUUGAACUGUUGAAUGACUACGAAUGUGAAAUUCGUGAUCAUCCAGGAAAAGCCAAUGUAGUAGCUAAUGCUCUUAGUCGAAAGGAAUACUCAGGCCGCUGAGUGAAAUCCUUAACCAUGACGAUCCGUUCACACCAGUCCACACAAAUCAAGGAGGCUCAAAGGGAAGCCUUGAAAACAAAUAAUGUGACGGGUGAAGCUUUAAGGGGAAUGGAUAAGAAUCUUGAAGUCAAGGGUGACGGAGUUUGUUACUUCGUGAACCAGAUCUGGACACCAAAGUUUGGUGGAUUCAGAGACGUGGUCAUGAAUGAGGCUCAUAAGACUCGAUACUCCGUGCAUCCUGUUUCAGACAAGAUGUAUCUAGACCUCAAGAAACUGUAUUGGUGGCCGAACAUAAAAGUUGAGAUCGCUACCUAUGUGGGCAAGUGUCUGAUUUAUGCCAAAGUUAAGGUAGAGUACCAAAAGCCCUUGGGAUUACUACAACAACCUGAAAUACCCGAUUGGAAGUGGUAGCAGAUAACCAUGGAUUUCAUAACCAAAUUACCCAAGACAACAGGUGGACUAGACACCAUCUGGGUCAUCGUCGAUAGAUUAACAAAAUCCGCACACUUCCUACCAAUAAAGGAAACCAACAAGAUGGAUAAGCUAACUCGAACAUACAUCCGAGAGGUUGUACCAAUGCAUGGUGUAACAAUAUCCAUUAUCUCCGACAUAGAUAGUAGAUUCACCUCGUGAUUCUGGCAGUCGCUGCAAAAAUCUCUAGGAACGAGACUAGACAUGAGUACCGCUUAGCAUCCACAAACCGACGGUCAAAGUGAGAGGACCAUACAAACCUUGGAAGAUAUGCUAAGAGCUUUUGUAAUCGAUUUUGGUAAAGCAUGGGAUACCCAUUUACCACUAGUCAAAUUCUCGUACAACAAUAACUAUCACUCCAGCAUUAAAAUUGCUCCAUUCAAAUCCCUCUAUGGCCGCAAGUGCAGAUCACCACUGUGCUGGGCUGAAGUGGGUGACACGCAACUAGACAAGGGACAAGUACCCGACAACACUCUCACAAGCUUGGAAAUCAAUAGCGAAACAACAGAGAAGACCAUUCAAAUUCAGGAACAACUAAAGGCUUGAAGAGACAGACAAGAGAGUUAUGCGGAAAAAAGAAGGAAGCCCUUGGAAUUUUAGGUUGGGGACUGAGUACUAUUGAAGGUCUCACCCUGGAAAGGGUUAAUACAUUUCAGAAAACGUGGGAAACUAAACCCAAGGUAUAUCGGACCAUUUGAGAUCCUUGCAAGGAACAGCCCGGUAGCAUACAAACUUCGACUACCACAGGAACUCAAUAACGUACAUCCUACCUUUCAUGUGUCAAACUUGAAGAAAUUUCUGUCCGAUGAGACCCUCGUUGUCCUUCUAGGCGAAAUCGAAAUCAACGAGAGUCUCCACUUUGUUGAGGAACCAAUUGAGGUCAUGGAUAGGGAAAUUAAAAGAACAAAACAAAGUGGCAUACCCAUUGUGAAGGUCCGUUGGAAUGCAAAGCGGGGACCUAGAUACACUUGGGAGCGCGAAAAUCAGAUGAAACAAAAGUACCUGCAUCUUUUUCACUAACCCAAAAAUAUUUACCUUACAUUUAAUUUCGGGACGAAAUUCCCACUAUCGGGGGAUGAUGUGACAACCCGAUAUUUUGAAUCAAUGUAAUGACCUAAAUAGUCAAGAAUUGUAAUCUCUUUUAAUAUAAUGAGAUUAUCGUCAAAAAUAAAAAGUUCAAAAGUCUACUGGAUUUCAUAAAUGAUAGAUAUUGUGUCAAGGGUUUCAGAAAUGUAAAGAACACUAAAAUCCGAGUUAUAACAAAAAAGUUAUGACCAACCUAAGAUUUCAUAGCAAGACAGUCAAUACGAUUAAACGUAAAACGAGAAAUUUCAAUAAAAUACUUAUUAGCCUUAGGUAUCUAAAUAAAAGUCGUAGAUAUCAUUAAACCAUGAACAUACAUAAAAAGAACGCCCAAAUCUGACUUCGUAUGUGGAAGUUAUGAUUUUUCGAAGUUUCGAGAUAGUGGUAGACAUCUAAAAACUCAAAAUAGAGAUUGAGCGAUUUUUAGCCGAAACAACCUAAAUAAGAAUCGAACAUCUGAACAAUAGUAGUGCAACAGAAAAAAGUCUGACGAAAACGGACAUCGGAUGAAGAAGUUAUGGAUUUUUAACGGACUUUUCCUGUCCCGUCCUGUUAAAAAUGUAUUAAUAAAAAUAAAUUCAAAAUUAGCCAACAGAGUCUAAAUGAAAGUUGUAGAGUACAUUCUCACCUACGUGUGGAUAUAAAUAACGCAAAAAACAGAGCUCGUACGCGAAAGUUACGCAAUUUAGAAGUUCGGAAAACUCAUUUACUCCCCGCAUAAUGAGUUACGCCCCGCGUACCACAGGAUAGGAACCACGUCCCAUCGGCCACAGGCUCUCCCUUCGGACCUCCCAUCUGAAGCGCAUGAUGCAUGACGUCCGGUACGCCCAGUGUAAUCCGGAGGCACGCCCCGUGUACCGAGGGUUUCCAGCCCCUAUAUAAAGGGUGCGAGGGUUCCGGGCAUAAUUGCAACUUUUCUCACCUUUUAUUGCGUUUUUACCCUGUUUUGCGUGCAAGGAAUAUCCCGAAGUCCCAGUUUUCAUACCCAAGUCCCGAAGGAAGUUUUACGCUCCCGAGAAUCAUGAGAAAUCCGUUUUCUAAUAUCAAAUUUAUGCUCGGUUUUUCGUCUCGCCUUCUUCAAUCUAUCAAGUGAAUUCAUACCCCUAUAACUACGUUUUUAAACAUUUUGUAAAUACUUUUAUACACUUUUAAGGGGGGGGGGGAAUACAAGUACACACACGGUUAUCCCCGUGUGAAAAACAUCAAUCUUUUGCUAUACUUUUGUUAUAUAAAUAUCAAACACUUUAUUUAUAUUUUGAGUAUAAACGUCCAAUAAUGUUAUUACAAAUGUUAUACUUUACAUAGAAAGUCGAAACUACACUAGGGUUUAUCAUACAAACGAAUCAUACACUUGGAAAAACUAUAAUAGGUAUAGUUUACUAGAUAUUCAUGAGAUUUUACAUAUUGUAAGUACUAUAUCAAGGAAAUACUUUCGUAUACAACAACAAAUGGACUUUUCAUACGUAAAUCUAUUUGAUACUAAGUUUUGUGAGAUAUUGAAACUUCACGUACUUUCAAGUAUGUAGUUAAAGCCCUGUAUUAUAUACCAUAAUCUCUUAUAGGGAGAGCAUGAUACUUGUGUAUAGAUCUAUACGGGAUUGACAAUCCCGCACCUAAACUGUUAGCUAUAGUUAGACUGGUAGGUCUGGGGUGACAAACGUCAUAACAUUCCAACGCCUGAAGAACGUUGUUACAGAUAGUCUGGGUCAAUAGCAUGGUUAUAAAACUCACAUGGAGUAUUAAAAACAAGUUGAUUUAUGGGGUUAUCAAAUGCCUUAGUGAUUUUAUACAUACAUAAAUCAAAUAUUUUAGGCAUAAAAACACUAUUGCAUUACAGUUUUGGAACUUUUAAACUACCACACACUUAUGGAAAAAUAUUGGAUUUCUAGAAGCAAACAUUUAAAACAGUCGGGUCUUGGUAGAAGACUACUUUUAUACUAGUAGGAAAUGUGGAAUUUUCUAGGAGUUUUUAAACAUCUACAAACAAUUUCAUUCAAAUUUUAUACAAACAUUGACAUUAAAUACUUAUGAACUCACUAGCUUAAAUACUAAUCUACUCUUUCAAAUCUACUUGUAUUUAUCAGGGAUUCAGUAAUACAGGUAAACUUCAGCUUUUGGAGAAGUGACGCUAAGACGUCGGUUUAAACCUCAUUUUUGUCAUCAUAUUGUAAUUUGUCUUGAAACAAGUAUCUUACAACAAUAUAACUCUGAAAUUAUAUAUACGAUGGUUGAUAUUACUUUCUUUACUAUGUAUUCAAGUGUUACGAUACUACAUGAAGUCAUCCUCCCUCGAACGAUUCCGCCGUUCUGGUUUGGGGGUGUGACAUGUGACGUGAGAAACCACUAUCGAUGUACCAUUUCUAAUCAUAUUGCUCGUCACAUAAAACCUACAAUUAAUGGAAAAUUUUAGGUACCAAAGGCUAUUUGGGUCCUUGGAAAUUAGCUUUAAAAACAUAAUGGAAUGAAGAUCCUUUAACCCAAUCACAAACUUUUGAUUUGAGACUAUCAAUUAAGUCCACAUCAUUAGUUAAAGGAACCGAAACAUUAGUUUUCGAUGGUUUAAGAUUGUCACUGACAUAAGCCAUCAACUUCUCAAUUUGUGUAUGAUCCUUCUUUUCUUUCGAAACUGGUCUCCAAGCCUUUACUGAAACAUUCACUUCUUUAGAAGACGAACUUCGAUUUGACAAAGUAUUUACUUACUUCUCAUAAGCUUCUCAUAUUUUUUGUUGAGAAAAGUUCCUAGACUGAUAUAUUCUUCCUUUUCCUUCAAGCCAAUUGUCAAAGUUUUUCUCAGGAGACAACCCUUUUGUGUAUGAAACUUUUAAGGUUUAUGUCCCUGAGGAUUUGCAAAAUUUGGUUUCUGUGGAAUAAAAUCAACAUUUGAUUUUGGAUGAAAAUUUUCAACUUUUCGACUUUGUACUUUAGUUUCCACAAUUUUAUUUUGAGAAAAUCGAUUUUUAAAACAUCUUCGUUGAUUUUGAAAUGAAUAUCGAUUUGUUAAAGGAUGAUUUUGAAAUCUCUUUCAAAUAUUAUUAAUAUUUUUGGAAAAUGUUGUAUUUUGAGCUUUCGAAAAAUUUGUUUUUGGAUAAUAUUUAAGACUUUGUUUUAUUUCAUAAAGCGGAAUUUUUCUUUUUGUCUGAAUAAGAGGACGAAGAUGUUGUCUUAUCAGAUUUAGACUGUGUUUUCAGAUGUUUUUAAUAUCGAAGCCUUUUGUUUCUUUCGAGACAACAGCUUGCCAGAAAAUUUUCUUUCGAGCUUGUCUUUUUGAAACUUCACAUGCUUUUGAAAAUUUGUUAAUUUGUUCUUUGAAUUCGUUUGAAUUUAAUUUGACAACCUUUUCAUUUUCCGCAACAACUUGUGUCGAAACUUCUCUCACAACUUUUUGUUUCUCAACCCAUUUCCGUUGAACUUUUUGUCUUUGAAAUGUGUAUGUAUUCUUUGUGAGAUUAUUUUCGAUAGUACUUUUAUUUGAAAAGAAUCCUUCCUCAUAUACAUGUUUGUUAUCUUCUUCAACCAAUUUGGCAAUCUCUGGUUUUAUGUUAUCGACAUUUCCUGUUGUCACAAACACUUGAUUUAGAAAUACAACUUUGUCUGAGCUUUUGAAGUAUGGAUACACUGUAUUGGUUUCAAGAUAAUGAGUACCUUUUUAAGUUAUCACUUUGUCGAAUUUUUUAGAAUCUCCAUACACCUGAUCAACAACAAUUUGUGGAAUUGUUGUUUUUUUCGAAUCUUUGUUUGCUAAGAUGUUUUUGUGUUAAAAUUCUCCAUCAUUUUCAUCAUCAUUGCUAUCAGUCUGACUAUCUUUUACAUACACAUAAUCAAAAUCACAAGCAUUCAAAGUUGAGGGUUUGUCAAUGUCAAUCUUAACCAAUGAAUCCUCACAUUUUUCUUUUCCUUUAGAUUUUGAUGUAAUAUUAAUGACAAACAAUUGAGAACAAUCAACAUCCUCAAUAUCACUAAUUUCACUAUAUUAUCUUAAUUAUCUUCAAUAUCAGCAAAAUUAGAUUGAUAAUUAGAUGUCAAAUUUCCAGUCUUUUUCAAAAUUUUGAUUUGCUCAUUUUUGGUUAGAGUAUCAUUUACAAUAUUAACUAAUUCAUUUGAAUCCAAAUAUUCGUCAAUUUUUACAAUUCCAUAUGCAUAUCUAUCAUCAGGUAUUUUGUCACACUCUGCUAUUGUUUUCUCACAAUCAUACGAAAUGUUAUCAACCUUCUUUCUCUCAUAUGCUACAAAAGGCAAUAACUUUCUAUGUUGUUCCUUGCUAAUAUCAGACGAAUGAUGUAAUUCAGUAAGUUUAGCAUAAAGUUGUUUAGCAGAAUUACAAUAUAUGUUGCUUUAGGCUAACAAUAGUUUUACAUCACUACUUAGCGAAUCCCUAUCACACAUAAUAAUUGUAACCUGCAUUUCUAAACACUCGAUUUUGAUUAUUUUUAAUCUAGUAGCUUCUGGGCCUCUAACAACUGCAUGUUUAGUUUGUUAGCUUCGUUACUAGCUAACACCACAAUUGAAUCAAAGUAAGCAACAGUAUCAUCAAAAGCAAUUAUUUCUGAAUCAUAAGCACUUAAAGGAAUAUUGAAGGAUUGAAGAAUAGAAGUUACCUUGGUAUUCAUUGGAGAUUUAUCAGCACUUUUGGUCAUGAAACAAUGACUAGUCACCUCUUCGUCAGAAUCUUCCUCCAGCUUCGCGAACAUUGCUCCAUGCGUAGGAUUCCACAUCUCUUCAUCAUUAGAUCCUGAUGACCAGAUCUAGUAUGUGCCUUCUUCCUCACUUUCACCUUUAGCAACCAAAGAUAAACCUUUCACCUUAGUACGUACCUCUUCCAACUUCUCAGCAUAGUUUGCUUCGUCCUUGACCUUAUUCUUUUUUCAUCCUUCUUAUGAAGCAAGCAAUCAUUUUCCAAAUAGUUUGCUCUGUUGUAAUAAUCACAAUCAAUUCCUGAAUUAUCCUUGAGUUUCUUCUAAACUUUGACCUCAUUCGCCUUCCCAUCAUUCUUCUCAAGCUUCUUCUUCUCUUCUCCCACAGACUUGUUAACAAAACUUCCUUUCCCUUCACUCUGCUUCACCUUAGGAUUAAUCGGUUUCUUGAAAAACUUUUUGACUCUGUUGUUUGAGUAAAAAGAAAUUGCCUCAUCAUCAUAAUUCAUGAUAAACCCUUCUUCGUCAUCAGAAUUAACUUUUUCAACAGCUUCUUUUUCAGAUACUCUCGAAACAAGAGCUAAUGGUCCUCCAAAACUAAGCUUCGACUCUUCAACAAUCUCGUUCACUUCAGUUUCGUGAGUUUUCAACUGAUUAUACAAAUCAUUCAAAGAUGAAGUAUCGAAACUUUGUUGAUUCUUCACCAUCAUGCUUACAGUCCUCCAUUCCUUACGGAGUCCCAUCACAAAGUGAGAUUGAACUCCAUAGCAGAACUCGUGAUUCCAUAACGAUUUCAUCUAUAGAUCAGUUCAUUAAGACGAUCAUAGUAAACUUCAAUUGAUUCAUUUUCUUUUUGUCUAAACGCUUUCAACUCCACAAGACAUUUCUUAACUGAAUUGAUCUUCGUCUUCUUGCUUCCCUGAUAUUUUUCCUUGAGAGUAUUCCAAAUCUCCUUUGUAGUUUUACAACCACGAAUGUAAUUGUAAACAACUGGUGGCAAUGCACCUCGCAAUUCUCUCGAACAGCGUUUUUCAUGUUUCUUCAUCCUGGUGGAUUGUUCAUCAACAACAGGUGUUGAAUUAGAAGAUCCAAUAUUUUGAACAUUCAACAGAGGUUGAGCAAUUCCUAUGAUGCAACUCCAAAGUUCCUCAUCCAAUCCAUUUAGAUUGUCCUCCAUACGAUCAGCCCAUUGAUCGUAAUAUUCCGGAAUCAACAUAGGAAUCUUCAUAGAAGAUCCUAACAGAUGAGAGAAUGAAGUCAUCGUGUUCAUGUUGAAAUUCUCCAUGAACGUAUAGACGAGAUUUUUCAGAAAAACUUGGAGAAAUUUGAAUUUGAAUGAAUAAAUCGAUCAGAAACUCAAAAUCAAUUACUCGAUUAUGCUAAUCAAAUGAAAAAUCAAAUCAAAACUGUAGAUCAGAGAUGAUUUUCUGAAUCAAACAGUGUGGAAACUUUUGACACAAAGUUGUGACUCAAAAACUUAGAGAUUCAACAGAAAAUCAGAUCGCAGUAAUGAUUCCUGCUCUUAUACCAAUUGAUGAAGUGAUAAUCAAGUAUAUGAAUGAAAUCAGAUUAGAAUCAAUAUAGUUGAACACAAGAAGUAAAUAUGAUCUGGUUUUAGCUCAAUUACUUCCAAUGAACACGAGUUACAAAAUGAUAGUAAAAAGGAUUAACACCCUCUAUCACUCUCUAACUCUUACCAUCUACUCAAUGUUCAACUCCUAUUUAUAGGAGAUUGAAAGUAAAAAAAAAAAAUACGAAGGCUUAGACAUUAAGCUUCAAAAACAUGACACCUUAGUAAAUACAUAACAAAACAUACGAAGAGUACAAUUACCCAGACUUCGACAUAUUAUAAGAUAUUUCAACCUUACAAAAUAAACCCAAACUAUGGUCCCUAAAAAUUUAAGAUCAAACACAUGACGUAUAUUGUGUAAAUUAAAAUUAUUUCAAAGAAAAAUAAUGAAAGGAUAACCCACACACCUCUUUAGUACAAGCAUAGAAAACCCAUCCAAGGUUAUUUCUAGUCGUUGAUGUCCUUAUAAUACCUUGAGAUCCAUGAUCGUAGUAUGCCAUUUCUUUGGAUUAUGAGAAAUGAAGUUUUAGUUAGUAAAUUUAACAAGGUAAAGAGUUUAGACACUUGAAUUCCUUUAUAUAAUGGCAUUUACUAUGGUCACCGAUUCCGGAUACUAUUCCAGAGAAACAUUCUAGAGCCACACUUGGAAUUUCUAUUUUGGACCCUCGUUCCGGACAUUGCUUUUAUACCUUAAAAUGCACCUAUGAUGCAUCAUCAUAGGCUUUAACCCUAUAUUCAUAGCCUGCACUAUGUGUUGUCAUUCAUAAUAGGAAUUUUCAUAGAUUCCUAUCAUAUGUGUAAUCAUUUCAAACAAAAAAAGUCAUAGAUUCUUGAAAGUAUAUGUAUUCAUUCCGAACAGUAAAUGUCAUAGAUUCUUGACACUAUUUCAGACCCUAAUUUUGGAACCACAUUUUGGAGCUACAUUGUGGAAUGGCUAUUUUGUACCUUUGUUCCGAACGUUGCUUUUGUACCUUAAAAUGCACGUAGCAUGCAUCCUAUACAGUAGCCUACACUAUGUGUCGUCAUUCGAAACAGUAAUUGUUAUAGAUUCUUUACAGAUGUAUUAUACAGUCAUACUGAACAAUAAAUGUCAUAAAUUCCUGAAAGUACAUGUAGUCAUUUUAUAAAGUAAAAGUCAUAGAUUUCUGACUAGAUUUUGGACCCUCAUUCUAGAACCGCAUUCUGAAGCCACAUUCUGGAAUGACUACCUCGGGCCCUUGUUUCAGACAAUGCUUUUGGACCUUAAAAUUCACUUAGCAUACACACUCAACAUAGAAAAAAAUUAGAAUGAGUUCAUCUUAUGAUGAUGUUUAGCAUUGUGAAGAAGAAGAUUGUUUUGUUCAUUCAAAUAAUACCUGUUUCCGAAAGACCCAUAUUUCCCACUCCUAGAUAAAAUGCAUGAAGACGUUUUCCAAACUAUGAAGGCUGCUGAAGAAGUAAACAACAGGGACUUCUAAAAGAAGUCGCACACUAAAUCAACAUGUAGACGCUCUAGUAGAAUAAGUAAAUGAAAAAGAAAAAUGGAUUGUUGAAGUUAUGAAAGAAGUGAAAUAAGCUAAGAAGUGGAUUGAAGAUGAAAAUGCGGAGAUUAAUAAGCUUCGCACAAAACGGGACCGUCUAAAAGAUGUUAUAAUUAAAGGAGAUUUUAUUGACAAUGAACAAAAUAUAUAUUACUUAUAAUUUCCUAAUUUGUGGAAACUAAUCUAAGUAUGUAUUAUGAUUUAUAACGCUUUUUACAAUAAUGUUAAUGAAAAUUUUUUCGUUUUAGAUAACCAUACCGUUCCUUUUACAGAAUUUAGUUUCAAAAGUCAUUACAAUUUCCAUAUUUAAAAUUAGAUUACAUUUAUUCCUGAUAACUGAGAACUUGUAUCCGAUGCAAACAAGUCGUGUCUAUAUGAUUUUUAAACAAUUCCAUGUAGGUCUCAAUUAGUUUGAAACAAUUAUCAGUCAAUUCAACUCGAUCUUCCAUUAUUGGAGUUGUCCUACGUGUUUCUUCGAUGAUGUCUAUUAUGUUUACAAAUUGUCGUAUAUCUUCAGACAUUGUAAUGAGGAGCAUUUGCAUGUUAUACAAUGCUACUUUUCUCUGCUCCUUAGUCGGUGAAGGUGGUAAUAAAAUUUAUAUUAUUACCAUUCAUUAUUUUGCAUGUUGAUAAUCACGAAUCAUUUCUAAUGCAGCUGUAUCAACAAGACGUCGUUGCUCGUCUUCAAUACAUGGUAUAUCAUACUCCAUAGGCAACUCAUCCUCGUCGUUUGAGUCUCUAGAUGUUUGAGACUGAAAAUAAAGUAUACCUAAAUUUUAUUAAUAUACUAUUUAAAAACCAACAUGCAUAAAAGUAUUUAAUACUCAUAAAAGCAACUUGUCGAAACAUAUACAUAACAAAAAAUACAUAACUACAACUAAUCAAUUAUAAUAGGUUUGUCUGCACUUGCUCCGGUCUCAUCUUUCAGAGUUUUAUCUACUUUCAAUUUAAGUUUUAACACCCUUUCUGAUUUAUUACUUAAUUUUAUAGAUGCCUUUAAAGGUUUUUUUUAAUUUUAUUUUGAAGCUCAGCAUCUUGGUUUUUUAUCUACAAAAACAAAAUUGCAAGAACAUUUUAAUACAUUACCGUAAAAAUAAAUUAAAAUUAUAAAAUUUUUGUUUUUUGAUUUUACCUUUAUCGGACGCUAUUCCUAAAGUUGUCCAUAAAACCCACUUCUUUAACAACAUCCAUGCAAACUCAUCUUCGAACUAACAUGAGUUAUUAAACAAUAUUUAGAAAAAACUUAUAAGUAUAAUUAUUCUGGAUUGAUAUUUCAUAACAUCAUUCAGGAAUAGUUCAUCGAGUUUCAGACCACGUUCUUCGUGUUCCGUACUUACAUUACCAUACUGAAACCAUAAAAUACCUAAGUUUUCACUAAAACAAGAUACUUCAAAUACAAGACAAAGUACUUACAUGAGAUUCAUACACGUACAACGAGAAAAACAUAAAAAAGGAUAAUUCGGAAUCGAUAAUAGUAUUCCGGAGUCGUUCCUUGUAUUCCAGACCAUUUUGGAUUACGUAAAUCAUUUUAUAAAAUCAAAUGCAAAGUAACUUACAGAGUAAAACUUACUUGGUUUGACGAAAUCAUGUUGAAAAUUAGGUCCAAAAUGCGAGUAGAUCGUGGUUCGGAUUUGCAAUUUCCGGAACGAGUAUUCCGGAUUUUUGUGUGUGGGACCUAUAUAUAUAUAGACACACACACACACACCAUUGGGUCCGAUUUUUUGAGCUAUGGGGUUCCUUUUAUAGUUGAGGCUCCUAGGGUUUACAACUUGGAAACCCUAAUUCCAUUGCUUAGGCCCUAAGCAACAUAUGGAUCCCCAUAUGGAAUGCCUUGGAAGAAAUUAUAUGGGCUCACCAUAGAUUUUCGUCCAUCCUAUGCCAAUAGGAUCCAUUAGCCCAAACUACAAAUAUUACUUAUUUACAUAAUCAGUCCCCGUCAAUUUAAUUAGUCUCAUUUAAUCACUAAAUUAAUUUCAAAUUAAUUUUUGAUCAGUACUAAUCAAAUAUUAUGAUUUCUCAAUUAAUAUACUAUUCUUAUAGUCGUACAAAACACAUCUUCAUUACCAUUUGUCCUUGUCAUGGUUUGUGGCAAUCUAAUUUGUUCGUAAUAGGAUCGAGAUCUACACUCAUUUGUUCAUGAUAAUUUGAAAUUUCAAAUAAAUAAUUGGAAAUGAUGUCAAAAUGUAACAAAAACUAGCACGACCAACAUCUCAACAUAAGAUUUGACCGCUCUUAUUCAGACAAUUACAUUCAAGGUGUCAUACAAUUACAUAAAAGGCCCAAAUGCAAAUUGCAAUUAUAUGUUGAAUUUCGAAUUUCACUACAAAAUCAUUAAGAUCUUCAAUAAAAUCAUAUGUUCAUUCUUCAAUAUCAUUAGAAAGUUGAAUUUACUUCAAUUUCAAGAGCUCUAACAUUCUAGUAACAUCUUUAGAAGAUCAACAUGCUUAUAAUUUGCUAUCUAUUCCACUUUGGAAUCUACAAACCUGCAAUUUUAAACGUGGAACGAUCAAUAUAUAGAUAUAUAUAUAUNUAUUAUUGAAGAAAAACAAAAUUCUUGAAUCAGAUGUUGAAAAAUAACAAACAUCAUUAUAUCAUUAUAUACUUAUAAAUGAAGCAUUUUUCUAAGCACCACAUUCAUUUGAAACUCCCAUUCAUUUUUCCUUUCACCACAUUCAUUUGAAACUCCCAUGACUUUUCAAUUUCUUUCUAAUAAUGAUUAUAAACUAAAGUGUAAUCAUAUAUAAACUAAAUUCUAAUAUUAAAAGAAUAUAUUUUCUUCAACUUAUAAAGCUAUGUUUUUAACUUUUAACAUAUUAUACUUAAUUUAUUAGGUCUAAUAUGUUGUUGUAUAUAAACCAUUAUCAUUUUAAAACUAUAACUUUCGAAAAUUUGUAUAAAAUACUUAAAUUGUUAAUUUAAAUAUAACCUUACAUGAUCAACUUAAAUAUAAAUUUUAGUUCAACUUAAACAACCCAAAGAAUACUUUACAAAUAGUUAAAAGUGAUAAAUUAUAUUGUCUUUCUAACAGUGAUUACAAGUUGGUUAAUAAGGCUAAAUAAUUAUCAAAACUAAAGUGAAAUCAUAAAUAAACUAAAUUUCAAUAUUAAAAUAAUAUUUUUACUUUUACUUAUAAAGUUAUGUUUUAACUUUUAACAUAUUAUACUUAAUUUAUUCGAUUUAAUAUGAUGUCGUAUGUAAACCAUUAUCAGUUUAAAAUUACAACUUUUAAACAAUUUUGACAAAAUACUUAAAUUGUUAAUUUUAAUAUCACAUUACAUUGUCAACUUCAAUAUAAAUUUCAGUUCCACUUAAAAAAUUCAAAGAAUAUUUUGUGAAUAGUUAAAAGUGAUAAAUUGUAGCUCUAAAUGUAAAAACUAAAUUGUAAUGUCAAUUUAACUAAAAUAUUUCAUGAAUAUACUUUUAUAAUCGUCAAAAGUUUUCAAAUUAAUAGCUUAAAAUAACUUACAAUAACAAUAGUUAAAAAUAACUCUAUACAAAUGAUUAUAUUGUUACUUUUAAAAUUAAAAAAAAAUUGUUUGAUGUUUUAAAUAAUUACAAUGAUAGAAAUUAAAACGUUAAGCAAAUAAUAAAUUUUAAAAAAUUAAUUAACAAUAACAACUAUAAAUAAAAUUAAACCAUAUAUUAUAUUUAAUUUUAUUCAUGAGUAACUCGCGGGUAGAAGUCAUUUAGACAAUUGAUAUUAUGCAGUUAUAACAGAUGUAUAUAUUAUCAUAUAAUUCAAAAUAAUCAAUAUAUUAUUACAAUUUAGUAUACAAAUUAUUAUAUCAAAUUAAACAACGUUAUUGUUAUAUUUUAAAAAAACAUAUAUUUAUAAAUAUUUCAAUUAAAUAAGUCUUUCUGUGCAACGCGCGGACAUUCGCUUAGUGUAAAUAUAGAGGUGUUUACAAAGAAAAAAUACUUAACUUGCGAACUCUCUAUCCUUCCUUCCGAAUUUUCAAGNUUUUUAAACGGUACAAUUACAAAAAAAAACAUAUUUAAACUAUUUAAUUAAAUAUUUUCAACAUCACCCUAUAUAACAAAUGAUCAAUAUAUUAACGAUUAAACCACAGUAUACAAUCACUGUAUUACAAUAAUCCAAAAAUGAAAAAAAUAUAAAAACGAAUUAGUAUAACAAACUUAAAAAUUAAAAGAUCUAAUAUAAUAUCAUAUCUGCAAAAGUGGUCAUAAGAGCUCAACCCAACACAAAAGCCUUAAGUUUGUUUUCUUUCUGAAAUUUGUAUAUGAUUUGUGUGCAUAUCUUCCAAAAAGAAUGGUCAUUUUGUCGUAAACUUUUCACUCAAUGCUAAUUAAACAUAAUAUAAGUUAUAAAACUUUUGAGUGUUAAAUCAUAAUUAAGAAAACUUUUGAGUUGCAUUAGUUAAAAAAGGGGGUUUCAAAUUAGUGUGGUUUGAGGAAGUUAAAAAUGGGGGUUUCAAAUGCAUGAGAUUCAACAAAAAAUGGUAGCUUUAUAAGUAUGUAUGAUAUGAUAAUGAUAAUGAUAAUGCUAGCUUUAAAUGUUGAAAAAUAUAUGUUUAAAAUGGUUAUGUUAUUGACAUUAACUUUUACAUAAUAUUUUGAAUAAUAUUAUUCAUUGACAUCAACCCAUAUUCCUCAUUAAUAAAAUUAAAUAUAAAUAUCAAUUUACUAUUAUUUUUAACAAUUUUUAUGAUUGAUUAAUUUAAAUUUUUACUUAUGCGAUUAUUUUCUAAUUUCAGUAAUGAUGUUCAUUUAAAAAACAGUUUAUUUGUUGUUAAUGAAAUGUAAUUUAUAAAUUGAUGUUAUUAUCAUUUAAAAUUAUUGUUCUUUAGUUUUAAACCACUUAUUAUUAUUAAUAAGUUAAACACGACUUUUAAGAAACACUUAGUAUUACUAUUAAAUAUGAAACAUACACUAAAUAAUAAACUAAUAAGAUAGUUAAUUUGCAUUUCAAAAGAGACUUGUAUAGAUAAUAUGACAUAUCCAAGAUUUUUAUAAUUUAAUUUAUUAUUUACAAUUAUUGUUCAUUAGUUUUAAAAGCUCUUAUUAUUAUUAAUAAGAAAAAGAGAACUUUUAAAAGACACUUAUUAUUAUAAUUAAAAUUUUAAACAUAUACUAAAUUGUAACAUUCCAAAAUCCAAGACCAAAAAUUUCAUUUUUUGUUUAACAAUUCAUAGAACAGAUUAUUGAAAACAUCAUUGAGUUAUCCCAUACCAUAAAAACUAUAAGUAAUACAUCUCAAAACAAGUCAUAAUAAUAUCAGAGUACGUAUCCCAAAAACAUCAUAGUGCGGAAAAUAGUGGUGUGAUGCGUUGCAGUCAUGCCGACUCCUUUCCCUUCGAAGAAGAAGUACCUGAACUCAAAAUCAAAAACCAUAAGCACAAAGCUUAGUGAGUUCCCCCAUCAUACCACAUACCAUACAAAAACAUACUGCCUAGCAUAUCUGGGUGCUGGUCUACCCCUUUGGUCUCUUUCAACUGGUAACCACCUAACAUAUCUGGGUGUUGGCCUACCCCAUCGGUCUCUUCCAACCAGUAUCUAGGGACUAUUUCACCCCUACCAAUACCACAUAAUAUCCUAGCAAAUACAUACUAUUCUCCUACUGCCUAGCAUAUAUGGGUGCUGGCCUACCCGGUCAGUCUGUUUCAGCCGGUAACCGCCUAACAUAUCUGGGUGCAGGCCUACCCCUCAGUCUCUUUCAACCGGUAAUCGGGGACUAUCCUACCCAUUAUAGCACUAUCACAUAAUGUCGUAGCAUACUAGCACAUAAAGCAAAACAGAUAGUGGCAUACCAAAUAAUUAUCACAAAUACGAUCAUCUCAACUAUAAUUAGCUACUAGUAGGCUAGCAAUGGUGCCUUCGGCCCGCUUCUACUAGAAGGUAACUCACCUCAAAUGUUGUAAAGUAGUUGAACUGCCCUCAGCUCUGCAAUCUGCCUCACGCAAACUGCUACACAUAUACAUUUCCUUUAAUUACCCUUUCAUGCUCAUACCUCUCUAAGGGUCAACUUUAGUCAAAGUCAAAGUCACGGUCAACACCCUGGUCAAAGUCAACACCUUGGUUGACUCAACUCGCUGAGUUCUAUAAAUCAGAAAACCCCGAAAUCGCUAUCCAACUCAUCGAGCUUCCCUCUAACUCGCCGAGUUCUUCCUUAUGAUAGAAUCAAGACUUUUCACUUCAACUCGUUGAGUCCUUCCUUGAACUUGUCGAGUUCUCCAAUCUUGAAAACCCAUAAGCGACGGCCAACUCACUGAGUCAUCUCCUAGACUCACUGAGUUUGCUUAGUAACAAAAAAGGUUGGGGGACCAUGACCCAAAUCGUCGAGUUCUCUUAGUCAAAAUCCAUUCAGUUACUUCCAAUCGAGUUUAAUUCUUCCAAACCAUAGAUCUGGUCCCUUAGGGAUAAUAUAUCACAUAAAGUUGAUAACUGUACACCCAUACAUGGUGUCAUGAAGCUAAAACACACCAAAUCUAAGCUUUAUAAGAGGUCUAUGGCAUGGAGAAGGGCCAAGACUUGAUAAAGCUGGCAACUUUAAGUCUUUUUAGGCCAUGGACAUCUAGAUCUGGAGUUAUAACUUUGAGACAUGCUCAUAUCCAAGAAUGGACCCCAAGUAAUCUACUAAAAACCCUAAACUUCUCAAAGAAGAGAUCUAUCAAAUAAAUAGCCAAGUUCUCGACUUUAUACCUUAAUAUGGCACACUCAACAGAGAAAUCCCUAGAUCCAAAGCAUGUCCCUUGAACCAAGCACCUUCAACUUCAACUCAUUCAAGAAAGCACCAAGGAAACACUCUCUUUACACUCACUCACACUCCAAAUGGUCUAAAAUCACGGAUUACGCUUUACUAGACUGAAGGGGAGAUAAGGGAGGCCACAAUGAAGCAUUAAGGUCUUUAAAUAGGGUGUAAAACCCUGAAAGUUCUGGUUUCAUUCUGGCAGCCCUACUCGUCAAGUUGAGUCUCUCAACUUGUCGAGUAGACUUUAAGAUCUGCGUCCAAAAAUCCAUUUCUACUCGAUGAGUUUGGGGCCUUCAACUCAUCGAGUUCCUACACAAAACUGAAUAAAUCGGAUUUAAAAUACAUACCACAAACUGGGCGUUACAAAUCUCCCCUACUUAUUUUAGAGUUCGUCCUCGAAGUCUUCUGCGUCUUGGACUAGCUCUGGGUAGUGCUCCCUCAUCUGAUCUUUCGGCUCCUAAGUCCAUUCCGAGCCCUUGCGGUGCUGCCAUUGCACCUUCACCAACUCUACCCUCUUGUUCCUUAGAUCAUUCGUCUUCUAGUUGAGGAUUGCUACUGGUUGCGCGAUGUAGUUCAGGUUGUCAUCUACCUAAAUAUCCUCUAAACGCACCACUGCAGAGUCAUCUACCAAGCACUUCUGUAGCUGGGAGACAUGAAAGGCGUUGUGGAUCUGACUAAGCUCAGCUGGCAGAUCUAGCCUAUACGCCACCUUGCCCACCCGGCUAUUGAUAGCUUUGAGCCACAAGAACUUUCCUAUGUGCACAUCCAAACCCUAAUGCUUGGAUCUAGGUUUCUCUAAUUGAACAUGCAAUGUAUCCAAGACAUUCAUUCAUAGAUCUAGUGUAAAAAACCAAUUCAUAACAUAUGAAAUCAGAUCUAGAAGAAUACAUUGAGUUACUUGCUUGAAGCUUCUUGUUCUUGGAGCUUAGAGUCACAUUUUUCACUCCUCUAAUGGCUUACAAACACCUGCUAGCAAGAGGAUAUUUGAGAUAGGGAGAGAGAGGUGAGAAAUUGGCCCUAGGGUUUCCUCUAUCAUAGAGUGGCCGAUUUCCCUCACCUAAGGGACCUAUUUAUACUAUGAGCUCCUAGGGUUUCACCAUAAACCCUAAUUAGGUAACUUAGCCUCAAAGCAAUCCAAAGACCCUUCUAGAUGAUAACCUUGGAUGAUUCUAAGAUAUCCUUAUCUUAAAAAUCGUCCCCCCUUAUUAUCUAUAAGGAUUCAUAGCCCAAAACACAACUAUCACACAUUUGACAGCUUAUGCCCCUUUUUAUUUAAUUAAUCUCUUUAAGUCACCAAAUUAAUUCCUAAUUAAUUUAUGACAUAUAUCAAUCAAAUAAUAUUAUUAUUCCUUUAACAUAUUAUUCUUAUAAUACAUUAAUAAUAAUAUCUCUUCUCUCUAUAUAAAUCACCCUGUCAAGUUGCUAUGGUGAAGGCAACCCAAAAGGACCAUGCACAACCGGGUCAAGUACUUUCCAAAUAUAGUUAGAGCCUUAGACACUAAUCCAACAGUCUCCCACUUGGAUAAGUCUAGUAACUAUAAAUGCAAACACAAUCCGAUUAGCAAUCAUAGCUCUCAAAGACGCUGUCAACUCUGAUCUUCUCAGUAUCUAGUCCAUUAGAUAAGGGAUCAUACAGUCCUCUGUUUUGAUAUCGUGCAGACAAUCUCAUGAAACAUUGUCAUACUUAUUGUCUAGCAAUUAUUUUCUCGUUCUCAGAUUUAUUUGGCAUAGAACUUAAUUGAACACAUCAAUUUAAUCCUGACCGGGCCCGACACAUAAGUCAAAUCAAAUCAUCGAGCGGUCGUGAUAUCGCUUUUACCCUCUCAGGAUAAAAGUAACAGAUAAACUUCGACUUAUAUGCAUUUACUUAUUCACUAAUCAACUAUACACAACAAUGCGUUUUAUGACAUCAAUUUACUAAUGCGGUUUCGCAUUAUCAAUGCACAACCAAUUAGUAAACAAUAAACCAUAUAUCUAGGUUUUAAGACCAUAUGAUAUUAUCGUCUUGCGAUCACUUGCGGUACAUUCCAUAAAGUGAUUCCAGCAAGCGCAGGUUUAUUCCAAUGCUCAAAACUUGUUCAUAAGCACUCAUGAACGUUGUAGCAAACCUUUGCUACGUCUAAUACCAUUUAUACAAUCUACAGACCAAUUCAUGACAAUCUUCAUUAAUACGUACUUCUAACAUAUGAACGAUUGUGGAUUGUUUGAAUAAUUCGAUUAUUCUUAAUAAACUCAAUUAUUCUAGAAGUCAAAACAUGCAAUGUGAAACAAUAGUUAAACAAUUAACAUAAGACAAAACUUUUAAAUAAUACUCCUUUAUUUAAUCAUCAAAUGUCAAUUACAUUUAUCUAUUACAAGUUUCCAAACUAUCUAAUCUAAACUAAUAUCAUCCUUCAGCCCAGUGCUCCUAGCAUGCUGCAAGUGGUUAACCCUGCUCAGUCCCUUCGUAAGCGGAUCUACUGGGUUAUCUUCUGAUGAUAUCAUCUUAACCACGAGGUGUCCUUCUUCUACUCAAUGUGUAAUAAAGUGAUAUUUUAUGUCGAUAUGCUGAGAUCUACCAUGAUCCCUCGGUUCCUUGGUCAAGGCAACCGCUCCUUCAUUAUCACAGAAAAUUUCCAUAGGCUCCUUUAUGGCAGGCACAACUCCAAGGUCACCAAUGAAGUUCUUCAGCCAUAUCGCCUCCUUUGAUGCUUCGCUCGCUGCAAUGUACUCUGAUUCGCACGUUGAAUCAGCUACAGUUUCCUGCUUGGAACUUUUCCAAGUCACUGCUCCUCCAUUUAGGGUAAAGACCCAGCCCGACUGCGAACGGUAGUUGUCCCUGUCGGUCUGGAAGCUGGCGUCACUAUACCCUCGCACCUUUAAGUCAUCACUCCCUCCGAGGACUAAAAACCAUUCCUUGGUCCUCCGAAGGUACUUAAGGAUAUUCUUGACCGCAAUCCAAUGGGCUCUGCCAGGGUUCCCUUGAUAUCUACUGACCAUGCUCAAAGCAAAGGCUACAUCAGGGCGAGUACAAGUCAUAGCAUACAUGAUUGAGCCAACUGCGGAAGCGUAAGGUACUCGGCUCAUUUCUGCUAUCUCGGCUUCGGUACUCGGACUUUGAGUCUUACUCAACUUGGCAUUACUUUGUAUCGGUAGUUCUCCCUUCUUUGAUUUUUCCAUACUAAAACGUUUUAGUACCUUAUCUAAGUAAUUAUUCUGACUAAGUCCUAUUAGUCUCUUACUUCGUUCUCUCACUAUCCUUAUUCCCAAAAUAUAGGAAGCCUCUCCGAGGUCCUUCAUAGAGAAACACUUCCCGAACCAGGACUUAACUUCCUGCAGAGUCGGGAUGUCAUUUCCCAUGAGUAGUAUGUCAUCGACAUACAAAACGAGGAAGCUAACUAUACUCCCACUGGCUUUGACAUAUACACAUGAUUCAUCUUCGCUUCGUACAAAUCCAAACUCUUUGACUUUCUCAUCAAAGCAAAGAUUCCAUCUGCGAGAUGCUUGCUUAAGUCCAUAAAUGGACUUCUCAAGCUUGCACACUCUAUUGGGAUGCUUGGCAUCGACAAAACCCUCCGGCUGAGCCAUGUAAACAUCCUCAGCCAACUUCCCAUUAAGGAAAGCAGUCUUGACAUCCAUUUUCCAUAUUUCAUAAUCAUGAAAUGCAGCAAUGACUAGCAUCACCCUUAUAGACUUUAUUUUCGCAGCUGGUGAGAAGGUCUCAUCAUAGUCAACUCUAGGAGUUUGAGUAAAUCCCUUUGCAACCAAUCGCACCUUAUACAUGUGUACAUUCCCAUCCACAUCAGUCUUCUUCUUGAAGAUCCAUUUGCACCCAACCGUCUUACGUCUGAGCACAUUGUCAACCAAAUUCCAAACUUGGUUGUCAUACAUGGACUGAAUCUCGCUGUCCAUCGCCUCUUUCCAUUUUGNUGUCCAUCGCCUCUUUCCAUUUCGCAGACUCUGGGCCUGCCAUGGCUUCCUUAUUGCUAUUAGGUUCAUCUAGAUUUAUCAGUGUACCAUCACUAAUAUACGUGUCCCCUUCA
rnacentral:lncRNA from 1 species